GCUUACGGCCAUACCACCCUGAGAACGCCCGAUCUCGUCUGAUCUUGGAAGCUAAGCAGGGUCGGGCCUGGUUAGUACGUGGAUGGGAGACCGCCUGGGAAUACCAGGUGCUGUAAGCU
ensembl:rRNA 5S_rRNA 5S ribosomal RNA